GACGGGGGGGGCAAGUGUUAUUCGGAAUGACUAGGCGUAAAGGGCACGUAGGCGGUGAAUCCAGUUGAAAGUUAAAGUCGCCAGCUCAACUGGCGGAAUGCUUUCAAAACCAAUUUACUAGAGUAAGGCAUAGAGGAAAGCGGAAUUUCGUGUGUAGCGAUAAAAUGCAAAAAUAUACGAAGGAACGCCAAAAGCGAAGGCAGCUUUCUGGUUCUUUAACUGACGCUAAAGUGCGAAAGCAUGGGGAGCAAACAGG
rnacentral:rRNA from 1 species